rnacentral:rRNA from 1 species
GAGAGAGGCCUUAGCGCGGUGGUCCCACCUGACCCCAUGCCGAACUCAGAAGUGAAACGCCGUAGCGCCGAUGGUAGUGUGGGGUCUCCCCAUGCGAGAGUAGGGAACUGCCAGAC